rnacentral:lncRNA from 1 species
UUGGAAUAUGCUUAAAAAUAUCAGUUUGUCCUGUGCAAAAUUUUUCAGGAAUACUCCAGAAUAAUUGUUAUUUACUUAUAUAUAUUAUUUAUUAUGUUAUUUACUUACUGUAUAUAUAUAUAUACACACACAUAUAUAUAACAGAAAAAAGGGCAAAUACAUAUCAAAUAACAUUGUAUCCUGAGACCAUGACAAAAAGACAUUUUAUUCCUCUUUUUUUUAUGGCUGCACCUGCAGCAUACAGAAGUUCCUGGGCUAGGGGUAGAAGUGGAGCUACAGCUGCCACCUAUACCACAGCCACAGCAAUGCCAGAUCUGAGCCACAUCUGUGACCUAUGCCACAGCUUGUGGAUUCUUAACCCACUGAGUAAGGCCAGGGAUUGGAACUUCAUCCUCAUGGAGACGUCAGGUUCUUAUUCCACUGAGGCCAUAAUGGGAACUCCAAAAAGACAUUUUAAAAUAGAGCUGUUUUUCUUUGCUAACUCAACUGUUCCCUAGUCAUUUUUUUCCUUUCCUCCUAGGUUUCUGAGAUCUCAUUCUUCUCAGCUUGGCUCCAAGGUUAGAUCCUCUCCGAGAGCUUCUGAUCUCACAUGAAUCCUCAUCCUUCCCCUGAGAUCCCACUGUAUUGCUUUCAUUUCUUUGUGCAUGUGGUGCCCAUAUUGAGCUGAAAUGACUUGCUUAUACCCUGUCUUCUCCAUUAGACUGAGGACUCCUUGGGGCCAAAGACUGUGGCUUAUGUACUGGUCCAAUGUUCAGCUCUGUGUGCAGCAGGUGCUCAGACAGUGCUGGAGGGCCUGUCUUUUGAAUCUGUCUGCUGUUCUUUCCUUUGCUCUUCAUUUCAACAUGUCUUUUCCUCUUACUCUUUGUGAUUUUCACUUGAUCCUUUUGAGUUUUGAUUCCAAAGUUCUUAAGAGACAGAGAUCCUAUUGGCUGGUGCAAGACCAUAGCAGUUGUGUGUGUGUGUGUGUGUGUGAGAGAGAGAGAGAGAGAGAGAGAGAGAGGGAGAGGGAGAGGGAGAGGGAGAGGGAGAGGGAGAGGGAGAGGGAGAGGGAGAGGGAGAGCGCUGAGUCACUGUCUCCCAUUUCUGGCUUUGCUUCUCACAUCCACAACCCAUGUGCUCUACUUCCAUUUUUUCCUCUCAUUCCUGUUCCAAGCACAUCUGAAGGUCAAAAGGAGCAUCUCGGAAUCCUCAAGAAACAAGAAGAAAACACACUUGGAUUUUCAAAUAUCUCGAUAUUUUAACUGUGUUUUUUAAAAAAGGAUAAACAGCUCUUUUAAUCAGAAAAAGUUCAGGCAUUAUAGUAUAAAUGAAAGAAUCUCAGUCAAAAAAGCUCAACAUUCGACUAUCUGGACAGCAAUAGAGCAUGCACUCAAAGUGAAAAGAAAAUGACAUGAUGCUUAAACAAUGUUUUAAAGUCCCCCCUGCCACCCAUUUUAGGGGGAGGGGGCAUGGGGAGGAGCUUGGAUGAUGAAAGUAAGAGCAUCUCAAGGGUGGAUGAAGACAUUAAAAGUGAGCAAUAUCCAGUUGCUUCCAGCUGGCUGGCCUGUUUUAACCCAGGGGAAAAAAAAUGGCAUUGGUAACUAGUUUUGUUUCUCUUUACCAUCGGAAAAAUAUUCAGAGAAAAACACUUCUUAUUCAUUUGGCAAAUAUUUACUGAGCUCCAAUCAUGUGCUAGGUACUAUUCUAAAUGAUAAUUAAACAGCUGUGAACCUGCCUGGCCCCUAUAGUUUUGAGGAUACUAAGUACAGGUCACUUUGGCCAUCAAAUUCAGUGUCAUUUUCAGUUCCACAGAAGUCCCUUAAAUGCUGAGCUACAGAGGUGGAUUCUUAGUAAAACCAAAGAAUUUUAAGCUUCAUAGUUGCUUACUUUUAUGGGCCUUUCCUGUGCAUCCUCCUCAAGAAUUUAGUACUCAUUUCAAUACAUGGGCCACUGCUCAUGAAUUAUGAAUUAUAGGUGAGCUCAAUGGGUUGCCAGUAACCCUUUCAUUUUGGCUGGCCCCCAGUGACAUUCUACAUUGUGUGGGGGCUUCCCCAGGUAUCCCAAACCCAACUCUGGCAUCAAGAAGAUUCUUUUUUUUUCCUUUUAACGAUUUUUAUUUUUCUAUUAUAGUUGGUUUAGAGUGUUCUGUCAAUUUUCUGCUGAACAGCAAAGUGACCCAGUCACACAUGCAUAUAUAUACAUUCUUUUUUUCUCACAUUAUCCUCCACAGUGCUCCAGCAUAAGUGACUAGAUAUACUUCCC